GGGCGGGACUUCCUCCCCACGACCGGAAACCGGAAAGGGCUGCUUUCCACCGGAAGGAGAGAGGAGGCGUUGCCGCGAUGUACGCGGGAGGGGCGGGUUCGUCCGUGGCGUGUGGUGAGGCUGCUCUCUGGCCACCAGCGGGGCGCGCGGUAACAGUGUCUUAGUAGGCAGGCUGGCUGGUGUGUCGGGUUUCAGGGGGGUAUGGCGGGGAACCGGCGCAGGGGUGAGCGGUCGGCGUAUCUGCCGCGGGGUCCGCGUCUCCACUGAGCUGGGUCUCGUUCCGAGCUCGCGCUCAGCUUUCUCGACCUCGUCUAAAAAAACCCCAGCAGGGUGGUUCGCGGAGCUGCGGUGGGGAUGUGUGUGGGAGGGAGAGAGACACGCCCGGAGUAAGGCUGAAGGAAAGAUCAUGCAGUAGCUGAGUUCCACAUCCGUGGUGGCCCGUGUCGCUUAAGGGGUGUGACGCGAGGGCCUGUACGGAAGCAGGCGGUUUGAAUCGGUGACUCCCGCUUGAGGCAGCGGCACCUGUGGCAGGAAUUUGAAGACGCAAACGCCCGGCAGGUCAUUCUUAAGCUUCCUAAAUCCGCCGGGAACGUCGUUUGGUGUCGGAGGAGGAACAGCCGUCUGGGUCGUCGCCCUUGGUUCAGUUUAAAUCGAAGCAUAGUGAGAGGAGGCGGGCGGAAAGUCCCCGAGCUCGUUAGUGACAGAGCCACGAGCAGGAGCGAGAUUUCUUCAUCUCCAGGCCAUCAUUUUGUCCUCCACGUCUGAACUGUUUUUUUGGAUUGCUAAGCCGUCUUUUUAAGGGAGUGAAGACGGGGAUUGACCUUUCCGUGCAGAAUGAAUCCAAGAAAGGCAAAGUCGAUGCUGUGUAGCUGGAGAGGAGUCCGUCGGGUCCCUUCUGUCGUUUCCUAGAGGCCUGAGUUUCACGGAUGCGUGCCCCCCCCACCCCCCCGCCCCGCGAGACUUCCAGCUAACUACUUACAGUCCGAGCUCUCCCUGUGAGAACUUGCUGUCACAGCCCGUGGAAACGCUUACCUCGGAAGCCAUCUGAAUCGGACCAGCCACUGUGAGCCUGUAAGUUCACCCCAAGUCUAGGUGAGACGCUGUCGGGUGCCCUGCAGUCAGGCCUCCGCUGUCUUAGGUAACACUGCAUUUGGUACUCACGCUCUUUAUCCGUAUUGGGCAUUGUCCCGUCAUCUCUCUCGUAUUUUGAAAUGGAAAUGAAGAAAGUGUGUACGCCUCAGAGUUCUACAGAACAGCUUGUACAUUAGCAAGUACUGAAAAGCAUGGGUGUACUCUUACUACCGGGGAACUCACUCAACUAGACCUUCAUUGUGGGGAAGCCAUGGACGCUCUGUAUUAAGAACUUCUAAACUUUUUGGCCUCAGGACCCUCCUUUAAAAUUACUGAGGAUUCCAAAGAGAUUUUGUUUAUGUGGGACAUACAUAUACACACAUAUACAUACACAUGCAUGUGCGUGCACACACACACACACAAACACAUUAUUUUUAGUAUUAGAAGUUAAAACUGAGAAACGUUUUUAUCACCAGAACAUCCAAGCAUAUACUGUUGUCCGUGAUGAAUGUCCUCACAUAGUGUAGCGUCUGGUCAAACUCUGCUCUGUCUGUUCAUGGAAUCAGAGUGAAAAGAGCAAAUACUGUCUCAGUGUUAAUGAUGAAAGUAGUUUCGAGUUGACUGAGCCUCUGAAAGGGUCUUGGGCCUCCACGAGAGCCAGGCCCUGAGAACAAGUGCUCUGCGUAAAUGUUCCCAAGAAACUUGAGAUGAUGUAGACAUGGUUGCUGUUGCAAGUGAUGGUGACAUGGGCAGAAAUACUACCUUAAAAAUGCAGUAAGGAGCAGUCUUUUAUUUCCAGGGCCCGUAUAAUUCCAGGCACAAGGAACACAUCUUCCAUUUUGUUUUCCUUUCCUCCUGUUGGUUUGCAUAGUGCUGCAGACAGCGCUUCAGACUACUAGAGAGGGCUGAGGAGAGAAGACCACCCCUUCGGUGGGUUUAGACGUGGACAGGCUGUAGGUGGUUUCUAUUCCACUCACUCUCCCGGCUGUUCAGCUCUUACCUUCUCCUCCAGUGACCGCAGCACGUUACGGUCUGCACGCAUCUCCCUUCUCUCACUGCCAGAACUUGAGACUUUUCAGUGGAUUAGUAACUGCACAGAAAUGUACUCACUGCUGAGUUCAUAAUGAUUACCUGAGUAGGUAAAUGAGCUCUGCGGACCUCAUCGCGUCCGUGUUCUGAUGGUUUGGAGGGGAGGAGCUACAGUUCCUGCCUCUGGUUUGCUUGCAGCCGAGUGGAGCCGACACAGGUUGCCGGUUGCAAUAUGCCACUCAAAAAGAGGUGAGUGUGUGGCACUGAACUCAGCCUGGGAGAGGGAGGAAUUAGGAGGAAAUGCUUCCAGGAAGUGACCUUUGAGCUACGUAGGGAUUAGAUGGGACAAGAACAGGUCGGUCCAUUCCUGCCUAGGCAUCUGUGGCUUAUCAAGUAUCUUCUGCCUUUCUUCAGAGGUUUGGCCUUGCUUUCGGGUAGUACUUCUCUUAUUUUCUUUCUCUCUCCCUGUUUCCUCCUUCAUCACGUGGGUGUUUGGGGUAUAAAAGAAAUCAGAGGGUAGGAAGCUUUCUGAGUGGCAGAACGAGAUGACAGGUUGACCAUGAAGCAGUGUAUGUACUCAGGAAAUCCAUCUCUAAAAAAACAAAGUUCCUUUCUUAAAAUGCGUAACUGGGAGACCUAGGUUUUGUUGACUGAGUGCUUUCCUAGCAAGUGGAUUAUAUUCCUGACUCAGACACGUCUUUUGGAAUUUAAGGGCAUCUCUUAAGCCCACAUCUAGGCCUAGGAAUGAGCAUGAGGGAGACCGCAAAAGGAGAAUCUAAGUUCAUAAUACAAAAGCCUUUUUAUGGGCUCUGCAUGCAUGGCUGCCUGUUGUCUGAGCUGCGCGCUGUGUAGCUCAAUUGUCACAAUUCAGAUCAACGACAGUUUGAGUCCGCCAGGAUUUGAGUAGACAGAGCAGAGAACCUGAUAGUGUUAAAGUCUGGGAAGAUGAAGAAAAAGCAAUCAAUCGGUGAAUGGGGCUCGAUUGUUUCCUGGGGUUGGGAGUAGCAGAAAGCAAGCAGGGCAGCAGCACCUGUGCCGGAGCUACUCUGACGUCAUUCCUGCCUCCAGGCAUCGUGCCCAGCUCAUCCUCAUGUGCCUUCUAGGAGACUUGCUCCCUGGAUGGAGUCAUCUUCCCAAACCACCGGUUCUCAUCUUGAAUUUAGAUUCCUUAACUGUGGAUUGCAGUGAAGAAAAAUCUCUGAAAACUUGAAAAGUCAUCAGUUACCUAAAAGUGAUCGAUGACCAUUCCUUUCAUUCUUGACACGCUAGAGGACCAUGCUUUAAAAGCUGGACUUGGUCUUCUGGAGACUAAGAAAACAGAGUCCUUGAAGUCAAGCCGACUCUGCUGUUAGCCUCCUAAAGGAAAAGGUAGAUAGAACAGGUCUUGUUUGCAAAAUAAAUUCAAGACCUACUUAUCUACCAACAGCAACUACGCACUUCGAGUCGUCUUACUGUAAAAUAGGAACAGUAAAUUAUUAGAUUAGAAAGCGUGGGAGAAGGUGGAUCCACGAAAACUCUCACAGUGCGAACUGAUAGGAGCGGGGCUGGAAAUUGGAGAAGUUGCUCAGGAAAGUGGAAGGAGGACCUCUCCCGUGGUGCAGCCUUCAGGGAGUCCAGCAAGUUUUCUGGGAGCUGAGCCUCCUUGUAUGGAGACCAGCAGAGUCUGCGUUACGGAAUGCUGUGUCAGAGGGACUCGCGCUGCCAGCGUGUGAGCCGCGGGAGCUUCUGCUUCUGACAAAUACUGGAGGGUGGGGAGUGGUGCAGAAAAGGCCUCGAUGUCCAUAUAAUCGCUCUGCUUGAUACUGAUCACCAAGCACGUGCUUCUGAAAUAUUAUUGAAUGUGUCUAAGUGAUUGCAUAUCAUUGUCUGAACCAGUAGGAAGUCAGUUAUUAAAUAUACACGUUUCCAAAUAAAAGGCAAUUUAAUUUUAUCAGCAA